UUGCCUUCAUAAAAAGACAUGUUACAUUCAGCAAAAAAAGAAAGGCAAUAAUAGUGAUUAAAUAAAUACAAAACCAAGGCUAGGUGAUUGAAUAGACAAGGAAGAUACACAAGAUAGAUUUUUUAUUACUAAAAAAGGAAGACAUUAUUUACCCUCCAAAAUAUGAAGAUUAACCAAGAAAAAUAUACAAUAGUGAUAAUUCUUGCUCUCAUCAUGUCUAAAAGUUUACACUAGUUUAUUUUGUUCAUAUUGUAGUGACAAUUAUUUUACACAUUGGAAUGAUACAUUUAUCAUUGAACAUGGUUUUUGAAUUUAAAAAGCAUCUAAUUAAGUUCUAACGCAUUUGAACUAAGCAUCAAACAUGAACACUCUUUUAUUCACUUAGAAUUAUUGAGCCUCUUGAGUAUGUUAUGUUCUUCCAGCAACAUAAUCCAAGAUUCCUUCACCAACUUUUUCAUCAUGAACUUCACUUGAGAAUUUUGAAACACCUCCAAAGGUUAUUAUUGCAAUCAAGAAGACAGUGGUGGAAGCAAAUAAAGGCCAAAAAUAUGCUAGAAUGGUUAGAAAGUGUGGAGCUGCAUAAAUCAGCAAGGAAAAUAAUAAUGAAAUUAAUAUUGCUAUGGUUAUAUGGUAUUUAUACUUUAGAAGCUUUUCUGAUAUGUCCAUGAUAUAUUGAAUUGUACUUUUAUUGCAAAGAGAGAGAUAAGAUGAGGAGUUUGUAGGAAUAAAGGGUGAAGAGAAUGUGGUGAUUUCUAUGUGUUGGUAAGUGAGUAGUAUAAUAUAUAUUUCAAGAGGUUGGAAUUGGUGUUCUUAAUGGCUUUUCAAAGCUUGCUUUCCCCAUCUGCCACUUAUUUUCUAAAAGACAAAUGUAUUUUGCCAAAUUGUCCUUUCGUACUAAACAAAGUCCUACAACAAAUCA
rnacentral:lncRNA from 1 species